AGUUGACCUCGGAUCAGGUAGGGAUACCCGCUGAACUUAAGCAUAUCAAUAAGCGGAGGAAAAGAAACCAACAGGGAUUGCCUCAGUAACGGCGAGUGAAGCGGCAACAGCUCAAAUUUGAAAUCUGGCUCCUCUAGGGGUCCGAGUUGUAAUUUGUAGAGGAUGCUUCGGGCAAGGCUGCGGUCUAAUUCGCUUGGAACAGCGGGUCGCAGAGGGUGAGAAUCCCGUCUAGGACCGCCUGCCGCGUCCAUGUGAAGCUCCUUCGACGAGUCGAGUUGUUUGGGAAUGCAGCUCUAAAUGGGUGGUAAAUUUCAUCUAAAGCUAAAUAUUGGCCAGAGACCGAUAGCGCACAAGUAGAGUGAUCGAAAGAUGAAAAGCACUUUGAAAAGAGAGUUAAACAGUAUGUGAAAUUGUUGAAAGGGAAGCGCUUGCAAUCAGACUUGAGGGGGGCGGUUCCCCCGGUCUUCUGACCGGGUCAUUUCCGCCAUCUCCAGGCCAGCAUCGGUUUGGGUGGUCGGUUAAAGGUCCCGGGAAUGUAUCUACCUUCGGGUCGACUUAUAGCCCGGGGCGCAAUGCGGCCCACCCGGACCGAGGUACGCGCUUCGGCUCGGAUGCUGGCGUAAUGGUUGYAAGCGGCC
rnacentral:rRNA from 1 species